UACGUAGGGUGCGAGCGUUAAUCGGAAUUACUGGGCGUAAAGCGUGCGCAGGCGGUUUUGUAAGUCAGAUGUGAAAUCCCCGGGCUUAACCUGGGAACUGCAUUCAAAACUGCACGGCUAGAGUACGGGAGAGGGGGGUAGAAUUCCAGGUGUAGCGGUGAAAUGCGUAGAGAUCUGGAGGAAUACCGAUGCGAAGGCAGCCCCCUGGCCUGAUACUGACACUGAGGUGCGAAAGCAUGGGGA
rnacentral:rRNA from 1 species